UGAUUUCUGCUGCUGCUGGAGCUCUGUUGAUCGUAGCUGCAGUCAUGUGGUACUGCUUCUGCUGGGAACGUAGAAAAAGAGUCAUAAUCAACGAGAUAUAUGGAAAUGAUUCAACACUGCCUACACCAAAACCUCGAAAAACGAAAUCAAAGGAGCCUGUUUAUGGAAAUACCGGCAGAAAUAAUCAGCAAUGAUCAAAUAUAUUUUAGAGCUCAUACUGA